AGUCAUGUCCCUGCAGCUGGUGCUCAAAUGUGUAGCGCUCCUCUCCCUUGGUCCGGGUAUUGGACUGGAUUGUCAUGAUAAAGAACAUCUGCUAUUUGGAUUCCCACAAGGCAAUUUCAUAAAAUAUCUGCUUGUCAAAUUUUAUCUAACUCAGGCCUACUGAACUGACUUUCUGCAAGAUACCAAAAAGGGACAGAAAUGAAGACCGUCUGUCCUUGCCUCUCCUCACAAGUCAAAAAAAUUCUCAAAACACUAAUCAAAUCACCAGUCUUUCUAAAUUAUCUGAUCUUCAUGAAGGUUUCUUUUGAUGACACCAAGCAUCGACCAUCUCAGAUUUAUAGAUGUGUUACCGCUUUCAAUCCUUCCAAGCAUCCUACAAGAAGAAAGUAGCUGAGCAAUUGUGUGACCAUCUCCGACCAUCUCAAACUACAUCCCCGACUGCCACCACCACCACGAUGCAGGAAAAGAGAAAGAAAAAGAAGAAAGAGGGGAAGCAGAAGGAAAAGGAGGAAGAGAACUGUAAGGUGUUCAGAUUAGUGAAUCAAACUGUGCCUUCAGGAUCUAGCACCUAAAUGUCUAGCACUUUUUAAAAUGUCUUUAAAAAUUUUUUAACAACCAGUGGGUAGGAAUGUGCUCUGUUUAGCUAAGCAUAUCUUAUAAAAUAUCUA